GACGAACGCUGGCGGCGUGCUUAACACAUGCAAGUCGAACGGUGACCUUGGUGCUUGCACCAGGCGAUCAGUGGCGAACGGGUGAGUAACACGUGAGUAACCUGCCCCCGACUCUGGGAUAACCCCGGGAAAUCGGAGCUAAUACCGGAUACGAGACGCACAGGCAUCUGUGAGUCUGGAAAGAAAUUCGGUCGGGGAUGGACUCGCGGCCUAUCAGCUAGUUGGUGAGGUAACGGCCCACCAAGGCGACGACGGGUAGCCGGCCUGAGAGGGCGACCGGCCACACUGGGACUGAGACACGGCCCAGACUCCUACGGGAGGCAGCAGUGGGGAAUAUUGCACAAUGGGCGAAAGCCUGAUGCAGCGACGCCGCGUGGGGGAUGAAGGCCUUCGGGUUGUAAACCCCUUUCAGCAGGGAAGAAGCGAAAGUGACGGUACCUGCAGAAGAAGCGCCGGCUAACUACGUGCCAGCAGCCGCGGUAAUACGUAGGGCGCAAGCGUUGUCCGGAAUUAUUGGGCGUAAAGAGCUCGUAGGUGGUUUGUCGCGUCUGCUGUGAAAACCCGAGGCUCAACCUCGGGCCUGCAGUGGGUACGGGCAGACUAGAGUGCGGUAGGGGAGACUGGAAUUCCUGGUGUAGCGGUGGAAUGCGCAGAUAUCAGGAGGAACACCGAUGGCGAAGGCAGGUCUCUGGGCCGCAACUGACACUGAGGAGCGAAAGCAUGGGGAGCGAACAGGAUUAGAUACCCUGGUAGUCCAUGCCGUAAACGUUGGGCACUAGGUGUGGGGCUCAUUCCACGAGUUCCGUGCCGCAGCUAACGCAUUAAGUGCCCCGCCUGGGGAGUACGGCCGCAAGGCUAAAACUCAAAGGAAUUGACGGGGGCCCGCACAAGCGGCGGAGCAUGCGGAUUAAUUCGAUGCAACGCGAAGAACCUUACCAAGGCUUGACAUAUGCCGAAAACUCAUAGAGAUAUGAGGUCCGCAAGGGCGGUAUACAGGUGGUGCAUGGUUGUCGUCAGCUCGUGUCGUGAGAUGUUGGGUUAAGUCCCGCAACGAGCGCAACCCUCGUCCUAUGUUGCCAGCACAUCAUGGUGGGGACUCAUAGGAGACUGCCGGGGUCAACUCGGAGGAAGGUGGGGAUGACGUCAAAUCAUCAUGCCCCUUAUGUCUUGGGCUUCACGCAUGCUACAAUGGCCGGUACAAAGGGCUGCGAUACCGCAAGGUGGAGCGAAUCCCAAAAAGCCGGUCUCAGUUCGGAUUGGGGUCUGCAACUCGACCCCAUGAAGUCGGAGUCGCUAGUAAUCGCAGAUCAGCAACGCUGCGGUGAAUACGUUCCCGGGCCUUGUACACACCGCCCGUCAAGUCACGAAAGUCGGUAACACCCGAAGCCGGUGGCCCAACCCUUGGGAGGGAGCCGUCGAAGGUGGGACCAGCGAUUGGG
rnacentral:rRNA from 1 species